UACAGAGGGGGCAAGCGUUGUUCGGAAUUACUGGGCGUAAAGGGCGCGUAGGCGGCCUGCUAAGUCGAACGUGAAAUCCCUGGGCUCAACCCAGGAACUGCGUCCGAUACUGGUUGGCUUGAAUCCGGGAGAGGGACGUGGAAUUCCAGGUGUAGCGGUGAAAUUCGUAGAUAUUAGGAAGAACACCAGUGGCGAAGGCGGCUCACUGGCCCGGUACUGACGCUCAUGUGCGAAAGCGUGGGGAGCAAACAGG
rnacentral:rRNA from 1 species